AGACUCGGGGCCCCGCACGCUUGCGCGCCGCCCGCUGCCCGCCGCGGCUGGGAGUCCGGAGCUUUUAUCUUGUGAUGGUUUCGGUUCGGCUCUCAAAUGGAGGAUGGCUACGUUGAAGACAGCUGGGGCUGCCGCACGCCUCGGGGUUACUGUCGGGCACCCGGCGGGCGGGGCCGGCGCUGGGGCGGGGGAGGGCUUCCUCGCCCUCAGAAACCACAUUCGCAGAAACGCUUUUAACUAGCAAGGUUUCGAGUUCCCAACCACAGCACCCUCAGUGAUGGUUUUCAGAAGACCUUGUUAGCUCCUCUGCUCCAGAGACCCAUCCUUCGCUGACAUCCCACCGAUUUGGGAGCAGGAAAAGACAGACUCCUGCAAAAUACCUCUUCUUCCAGUGCCCUGUACCCCUCUCUACUUACUUCGAGUCCCUGCAGUCCAGCAACAACCCCAAACGAGUGAAGGGAGGAGACAUAGGUUUGUCCAGGCUCUGCCACCGACGGGUGAUUUGGGAUGAGUCCUUCUCCAGUAUCAUUAUCUUCAACUGUAAAACAUGAGGGUUAGUCCGAAUGAUCUCCAAACGCUUCAGCAUUAAAGAUACAGUGAGAAGGUACCAUCUAUGAAUCAGAAAGUGGGCCCUCAUCUGAACAUGACCAUGCUGGCACCACGAUCUUGGACUUCUCAGCCUCCAGAACUGUGAGCAACAAAUUUCUAUUGUUUAUAAAUUACCCAGCAUAAGAUAUUUUGGUAUGGCAGCCUGAAUGGACUGAGACACUAGGAAAAAGGAAGAGAGAGAAAGAUUAAGGAAUUCAGCAGGAGGCCAGAUCUUACAAUGUGGACCUGGUCCAAGGCCUUAAAGAAUAGAGAUGACUGAUACUGAAUUUAAAAUUGAUUGGGUUCUGGGAGGCGGAAGUUGUGGUGAGGCGAGAUCUCACCAUUGCAUUCCAGCCUGGGCAACAAGAGCGAAACUCCAUCUCAAAAAAUAUAUAUAAAUAAAUAAAAUAAAAUUGACGGUUUUUUUGUAAUGUAAAACCUCCUUUUUUCCAAACUUUAGUAAAUGUCACUACAUACGUGAACGCCUCU